UUUCCCAGAAGGCUCUGCGGCGCCCACUUUCUGGUUGCGGAUUAGACGGGAACGUUAUGUAGCUUGCCUGACGUCUGGAAGAACUUGCAGGCUGGAGAAGGAAGGGCGACAUUUUCUCUGUUAAAACAACCUACGUGCUCCAGGCUGGGGUUCCCUCGCCUACUGCGAUUGGCUUCUGGAAUCCCUCCUUACCACUGUGACCUGAUGCCAUUUGCCAGGCAGUGAAGGUUAACGAAGUCAGUGUGUCAUAACCAUCUCCUCCAUCCUGCCCCUGUCAAGGGGCAGCUGCAAAACUAGUCACAUGCCUUGGGGAGAGCCAGCUGGCACUUCAUGAAGAGCUCUAAGGGAGAUGCACACAGUGAAGAACUGAGUCUACUGCUAACAGCCAGCAUCAGUUUUCUGGUCAUGCUCCGCCGUGGUAGCAGAUCCUGCAGUCCAAGUCAAGCCUUUGGAGAAAAUCCCCAGCUAACAUCUGUGUGGAAGCCUCACCAUAUAAUUAAGUCACUCCUUGGAUCUCUUCCUGCUAAUGCAGACCCCGGGAUGGCUCAUCAGUUGAGUUCCUGCCACCUGGAAUCAGUACCUAGCUACCGAGCCCCAACUGUUGUAAGUAUUUGGGAGUGAACUGACAAGUGCGAGCUCUCUGUCUACCAGUCUCUGUCUCUUUCAUUCUCUCUCUUCCUCUUUCUCAAGAAAAAAAAAAAAAGUUGGUACAUGAUUUGUGGGACUAGAGGAAAUGCAUUUUGAGAAGUUCUCCACAGGACCAUCCAGUUUGAAGGACUCUGGCUUAACAGUUAAGGGUACCAGUGUUAGAAUAUGAUGAACUUGUGUUUGAAUCCUGAUGCAGCCAUUUAUUUUCCAGGUGAUCUCUGGCCGGCUAAUUAAGCAAUCUGUCUCAGGUUUCAUCAUUUUCACGUUGAAGAAAAUAAUAAGGUCUACCCCACAGGAUCAUUGUGUGGAUUAAAAGAGCUAAUUUAUGCAAAGCUCAAAGCUUUGCAUAAAUAGGCUCUCAAUAAAUGGUAACUAUUGUUAUCAGCAUACUUUAUGCACACUACUUGCAAACAGUAUUGUACAGUUUCAUUACUAUGGAUAAUUGAUACCAAUUGGCGGGAACUAGGAUUCUCUAUAGCUACUUCUCAAAAUGAGUGCAAUGGCCUGCGGUCACACAGAAGGUCCCUAAAGGUCUUCCGGACCUGCUCAAUGGGUCCCAGCUGCCCCACCUAUCUUCCCUUUCUCCUUUUCUGCUGUCAGCCCAAGAAUCCUCUCCACGCAAUGGCUCUGUUUUCCUGCUUCCCACUCCCUCUUCACACCUUGCAAUUUGUAUUCUGCUGUUGCUGUUUCCUUGAAAGACUCUCAGCAAGGUCUUCAGUGUCUUCCAUGUUGCCAAAUUCAAUGGGUAUUUUAAAGUCCCCAUCCCAUGUGAGCCUCCUGUUUUUUUUUUUUUUUUUUUUUUUUUUUUUUACACUGUUGUUGGCUUAUUCCCUAUUGGGACUUUCUCUCUUGGUUUCCAGGACUUCACAGUUCUGUUUUUUCUAAGUCUGGGAUCAGUUUCUUCUGGUGAAACUUUACCUUUUUCCUCAUUAUCAACAGCUGUUUUCUGCCCUUGUCAAUUCUUCAUUUUCUCCUCAUUGUGCUUCACUAUUCCUUUUCUUUCUCUGACAAGAGCCCACUAUCAUUGAACUUUUCUAAAUUCUAGGUGAAUUUUCUGCCUUUUUAGGAUAUAUUUGUCUAAUGCAACCUUUCCCCUCUUUCCUCUAUGAGGUGAGAAUAGUUAAAUCAGACCGAAGAAGUCUCUUCAGAGCUCUUCAUAGGAGGCCAAGCAAAACCCAUGAUAAUAGGACCUGAAUUUUCUGUAGAUCAGGCCCCCUCAGAUAAACUUAAUAGUCCCAAGUUACACUGAUAUUGGAGAUAGAGUCACUGAAUGCAUUCUCUCAGCUCAGACACCAAGGUCUUAUGUCUGGGCUGUGGCUUCUCUGAUACUCAGUGCCUUUCAGAGGCAGUUGGGCCCAUUCCUGUCAAUGACUUGACUUUGGACCUUGCUUUAACCUCUCUGGUUUCAGUUUUGUCAUAGAUGAAAUGCAAGAGUUGAAAUAGUUAUCUAACUCUGUGGUACCAUCAUGAUUAACUUUGUCAUCAUUCGUACAACCCUUGAUUUCACUCCUAGAAAUGCAUCCCACAGAAAUACUCUCCCAAGUACAUGAGGAUGUAUGCAUGCAAGAAUGUUUGUAUGAACCUCAUCAAGAGAGGACUGGUUAAAUAACUUAGGGUAAUGUUCUAAGCCUGCACUGCCCAGAGUAGACAGUAUGCUCUUUGCUACUGGACCACUAGGAGAUAAGGAGUUUGAACCAGAACAUAAUUCAAUAAAACACACACAAAUACCAGCCGAAGUGAACAGAGUAUGUACAAGCAUUCUGGUGCAAGCUCAUUUCUUAGCUGUUCUCAGUCCAGCAGCAAACGAUUUCCAGAUCAGUGCCAACUGGUUUACAGCCCACCCUUGGAGUAACACUGCUAAAGCUUAACAAAAAUGAGGUGGAGACAGGCGCAAAGAAUACCUAACAUACUGUCUUAGUGAGUUUUCUGUUACUGUAAUAAAGCACCUGAGACCAGGUAGUUGAUACAAGUACAAGUUCAUUUGGCUCAGCCGGCACCACGGCUCAAUAGGCUAAUCCUCUGCCUUGCAGUGCUGGCACACCGGGUUCUAGUCCCGGUCGGGGCGCCGGAUUCUGUCCCGGUUGCCCCUUUUCCAGGCCAGCUCUCUGCUGUGGCCUGGGAGUGCUGUGGAGGAUGGCCUAGGUGCUUGGGCCCUGCACCCCAUGGGAGACCAGGAUUAGUACCUGGCUCCUGCCUUCAGAUCAGCGCAGUGCGCUGGCCGCAGCGGCCAUUGGAGGGUGAACCAAUGGGAAAAGGAAGACCUUUCUCUCUGUCUCUCUCUCUCACUGUCCACUCUGCCUGUCAAAAAAAAAAAAAAGUUUAUUUGGCUUAUGGUUCAGGAGGCUUGGAAAUGUGGGAGCACGGUGCUGCUAUCUGCUUGGCAUCUGUCCUACUAUACCAUAGCAUCGCAGAGGUGUCACAUGCUAACUCAGGUCUCAUUCUCUUAUUAUAAAGCCAUUAGUGCCAUCCUGGGGACCCCACCUUCAUGACUGCAUCUAAUCCUUUUUGCCUCCAAAUACCGUUAGUGUAUUAAUUUGGUGAUUAAGUUUUGAACUUUUGGGAUUUUCAAAAAAAGAUAUACUAUUUAAAAGAUAUACUGUUAGAAGAAAAAAGUAUGCCACAGAAGAGUAAGGUGUUUUCAAAAUCAGAGCUCUAGGCCAAAAAGGGCUAUAAAAGCACACAGAUAUGCCUGUGGAUGCGUGGAAUAUCUCUGGGACUGGGCUUCAGGAUUAACAGUGGUUCUCUCUGGGAGUGCAGCUGGGAGUUCAGGUAAGGCACCUGUUUCAUGUUGUCUAUCCAGGUUGCUCUCCUAUACAGCAGAGUGGCUGGAAUCUGUUCUGAUUGAUGUGUACCCUUCUUGCAACAGUUGUUGAAUAUUUUGGAUGCCUGAGUAGGCAUUUUAGUGUAGGGGUUAAGACCUCCACGUUUCACAUUAGAUUCAACUCCUGUCUCUGGCUUCAGAUUCCAGCUUCCUGCUAAUGCAGACCAUGGGAUGCAGUGAUGAUGGCGUAAGUGAUUGGAUUCCUGCCAGCCGUAAGGGAGAUCUGGAUUGAGUUCCUGACUCCUGGCUGUUGCCCCAGUUCAGCCCUGGCUGGCCCUUGUAGGUAUUUGGAGAGUGAACAAAAAGGUAGGAGCUCUUUGUCUCUCAAAUGAAUUAAAAUAUUUUGAAUGUUACUCUUAUUACACAUUUUUACUUUUUUAGCAUUAGAACAAUCAAGCAAAAAACAUAUUUGCAAAUGUAAAAACAAACUAGUUCCAGAGAGAAUACCAAUGCUUCUAGAGCUUCUAUUUGCCAGUAAACAAGUGUCCCCUUUUCAUUUCUCAUGGACAUUGUUUCCUUCUGUUCUCGCAGUGGGGUCUGUGAAUAAAGCAGCUCUCUCUGCCCUGUGCUCUGGAUCUUUUCUGCAGAUACAUUUAUGAGAAGGCAUUUUGGUUCACAGCCUAGUGAUGAAGAAGGCUCAGGGGCCAGAGGACUGAUUAUGGUUCUAAUUUGCAAUUAUCCAGUGAUUUUUCAUGCUGCUCAAGGAAUUCUGACUUCCUCCCUGUUUGGGUUGGAGAGUUAUAAGGCUCUGAUUUGAUUGGAGUCGGAUAGGCUAUGAUUAUCAUAAGCAUUUGGCAUAUUGAGUUGGGAAGUAUUGGGCAACAAAUGUAAAUUACUUUUUUCCAUUUUCGCUCUUACACAACUGCAUAUUUACUGUUUGCGCCGACCCUGAGUAGAAAAGUGAAAUGCCUUAUCCUGAUGGCCUAAAAAUGGAAACUGAUGAGAUGCCUGGAUUGUCUCUUUAAACUUAAUAUGCAAACAUAAUGCUGAUGAAGCAACGCAGAGCUGAGACAACAUACCUGGAGCCUGGUAAUUUUUGAUUCAGGUGUUCUAGGCCAGUCUACUCCGGUUCUUGAUAAUAAACAUUUUUUUUCUUUUAGUUUUAUAUCUCCAUAAUAAAAAAAGCUGAUUGGCCUUUGUCUUUAGUUUUUGGGAAAUAUUUUCUAAAUUCUUGGUAUUUCUUAAAUGAUAGGAAUGGCUUUUUACUCAUGGUGGGCCCUGAUUGUUUAUGCUAAGGAGAUGACACUAGAUGGGCACUGGCCCUGCCAGAAAGAGGGAUGGUGAGAUUGGAAGGCUGGGGCUUUGAGCCAUGUAGUAUCAGUCUGACCUCCAAGAAGAGGGAAGGGGCACAGCCAAUGAUGCAGUCAGUCAUGCUUGCAUAAUGAAACCCCAGUAAAGACUGACUUUGGAUAUGUAAUCAGGUGGGAAAACUCAAGGGCUAUUGUCUAACAUGGAUGCCAAAGAAACACAUUCAAGUGGUAAGCAGAAAGGAAUAUAUUAGGUUUGGCCAAGACAAGAAGCCAAGGUGGUCUUAUGACCAAAAACCAGGCUCUCUGAACAACCAGGAGUUACAAGUUCUAUAGGGCUUGCUUCUAGCAAAGUUAUACAUAGUCAUUACAUUUUAGAGGAAUUCUAGGAAAUGUUAUGCAUAUUCACACAUACCCACUAAGUUAUCAUGCAUACUAAGUUACAUACAUUCCAUGUUCAGUUGCGGCUGGAGAUUUAACAUUAUAAUUAGGGGAUUUUUGGCUUUCUAUGUGACAAAAGUAAAGUUGAGAAUGAGAUUGUUGCUUAUGAGCAGAAUCUUUUUUUUUCUUUUUUAAAGAUUUAUUUAUUUACUUGAAAGUCAGAGUUAAACAGAGCGAGAAGGAGAUGCAGAAAUAGAGAGAGGUCUUCCAUCCACUGGUUCACUCUCCAGAUGGCCACAACGGCCAGAGCUGUGCCGAUCCAAAGCCAGGAGCCAGGAGCUUCUUCCAGGUCUCCCACGUGGGUGCGGGGCCCAAGGACUUCUACUGCUUGCCCAGGCCAUAGCAGAGGGCUUCAUUGGAAGUGGAGCAGCUGGGACUGGAACCAGCGCCCAUAUGGGAUGCCAGCAUUGCAGAUGGUGGCUUUAUCCACUAAGCCAGAGCAGCGGCCCCAUAGGCAGAAUCUUCAACCAAGUUGGGAACCAAGUUUUUGUCAUCAAGAGGUACCCAUUCAGCGCUGAGAUGUGUCUUGAUCCAGUAAGUUGUGGGUUGCAUCUGCCUGCAAGAACAUCUGGUUGAUUUUAACUAGGAUUGAAUAGGAUUGAGUCCUUUUUCUUUAGGGGGUUGGGUAGGGGUGUCAGAGCGUAGGUGAACUUUCCUGGUUGGCAACCUUUUGUAUCACUGUCACGUAUCAGUGGGGAAGGAAGACACAUCAUGACAGAUACAGGACAGUGAAAACUUUCAUUUGAAACUCUCCAAGAUCUUACCCUGUGUUUCCUCCUUUGGCUCCUUCUAAUUUGUAUCCUUUUGCCAUAAUAAAACUUUAAUUGUAAGUAUAGUUCUUGCUUGUGUACUGUGAGUCAUUCUAGUGAGUUACUAAACCUGAGUGGAUAAUGAGAACCCUGAUUUUGUAGGCAGCUGGUUAGAUGUGAAGGUGAUGUGGGGACCCCCAAACUUGUGACUGGUGUCUGAAGCGAAGCCAGUCUUGUGGCUUGUACCCCUCACUGGUGAAGUUUUACCUAAGUUGGGGUAGCAUGGCCUCAGAAGUCAUUAUAAUUUCCCUAACCUUUUUUUUUUUUUUCCAAGUAGAGUUAUAGACAGUGAGAGAGAGACAGAAAGGUCUUCCUUCUGUUGGUUCACUCCCCUAAUGGCCGCUGCGGUCGGCGCUGCACCCAUCCGAAGCCAGGAGCUGGGUACUUCCUCCUGGUCUCCCAUGUGGAUGCAGGGGCCCAAGCACUUGGGCCAUCCUCCACUGCCCUCCCGGGCCACAGCAGAGAGCUGGACUGGAAGAAGAGCAAUUGGGACUAGUACCUGGCGCCCUAACCGGGACUAGAACCCUGGGUGCUGGCACUGCAGGCGGAGGAUUAGCCAAGUGAGCCACGGUGCCGGCCUCCCUAACCUUUCAUAUAGAAAAUUUAAAACCUAAAAUUCACAAGAGUAGUACAGUGAAAACCCAGUACCUUUUUACUUUGAGUCUCCAAUUUGUUAACCUAUUUCCAUAUUUGCUUUUUUUCUUUCUCCAUACAAUUUUUUUUCUCUGAACUAAUUGAAAAUCAUAGAUAUGUCAUCCUGAAACACUUCAACAUAUAUCUUCUCAGAACCUGGCCAUUCUACUGCAUGACCCCAACAUCAUGAUCACACUUAAGAAACCUAUCAUUGAUACAAUAUUAUCUAGUACACCACAUUUCAUUUUCCCCUAUUGUCCCUAAAAUAUCUCAUAUUUCUUUCCUUCCAACUUAGGGUCAGUCAAGAAUCAUGUAUUGUGUUUGGUUGGCUUGUUUCCCUGGUUUCCUUUUAUCUAAGAUUUUAUUUUACUUAUUUUUUGUCUUUCAUGGCAUUGACACUUUGGAAAGGGCCAGGCUACUUGUCUUUUUUAUUGCCCCAGGAUCUGGAUAUGUCUUGUUAUUUUCUCAUAAUUAGAUUUAGAUGGGCCAGCGCUGCGGCUCAAUAGGCUAAUCCGCCUAGUGGCGCCUGCACACAGGGUUCUAGUCCCAGUCGGGGUGCUGGAUUCUGUCCCGGUUGCCUCUCUUCCAGGCCAGCUCUCUGCUCUGGCCCAGGAGUGCUGUGGAGGAUGGCCCAAGUGCUUGGGCCCUGCACCCCAUGGGAGACCAGGAGAAGCACCUGGCUCCUGCCUUCGGAUCAGCAACAGUGCGCCGGCCGCAGCACGCCGGCUGCGGCGGCCAUUGGAGGGUGAACCAACGGCAAAGGGAGAUCUUUCUCGCUGUCUCUCUCUCUCUCACUGUCCACUCUGCCUGUAAAAAAAAAAAAAAAAUUAGAUGAUACAUCCUUGGCAGGAAUACAAAACUACAUCAAUGAUGUGUUGAUGAAAGGUUUGCAUUGAAAAAGAAGAAAAAAAACCCCACAUCCACAGGGAGGAGCAAAUAUGCCACACAUGUUACACGGAAGAACUGUUUGGGACAAGGGCCAAAGCUUGUGGUGGAGACAAUUUUGCAGAACAGGAAUGCUGGAGUUACUCAUCUUCCUCACUGUCAUCUUCUCACUCUUCUUCUCCUUUGCUUUUUUUUUUUUUUUUUUUUAAGAUUUAUUUACUUAUUUGAAAGGCAAAGUAACAGAGAGGCAGAGGUAGAGAGAGAGAGAGAGAGAGGGGUCUUCCUUCCGUUGGUUCACUCCCAAGAUGGCCACAAUGGCCAGAGCUGCGCUGAUCUGAAGCCAGGAGCCAGGAGCUUCUUCCAGUCUCCCACAUGUUUGCAUGGGCCCAAGGACUUGGGCCAUCUUCUACUGCUUUCCCAGGCCAUAGCAGAGAACUGGAUCGGAAGUGGAACAGCUGGGUCUCAAACCAGCUCCCACAUGGGAUGCCAGCACUGCAGGUGGUGACCUUACCUGCUACAUCACAGUGCCGGCCCCCAUCUUCUCA